CAAUUGUUUUCUGUGGUCAAUGAAUCAUGUUCAAAUUCAUUAUCUCUUUGCAUUCUCAGAGGGUGAGACAUUGGGCUGCAGAGAAAUGAAGUGAACCUGCUAAGCCGAUUGUCAAAUGGAUGAGAAACUCAGAGCCAAGGAUCGGGAAAACACCCUUAAAGAACGAGGUGAUGGCUGAGUCUGUCCCAGUGCAAACUUCUGCUCCUGGAGGCUCCCGUUCACUGGACUUUGCAGGAGACACACAGGCUCCCCAGACCCCGUGGUGGUGCCUGAUGACCUUCAGCUGAACCCUGUAAUGCUGCUAAAGUCUGCCCCUCUGGAGAAGUGCUCAGGUAGCAUUGUUCUGCCUCAGGAAGCAUGCCGAUUUUCCUGUGUCAUCCUUGAUGAUCACUGCUACCAGACUUGCCCCCUGCAGGCCACCCCAUGUGCAAGGAAUUCAACAACCUAGGAGUUGAAAGCAUUGGUCUCCCAAGUUCAGUGUGUUCUUUCCCGUAUCUAUUACCAGCUGAUGAGAAUAAACCUGCAGUCAUGACAGCUAGGUCCUAGUGACAGGUGCAGAAAGCUGCUCUUACAGAAACUCCCCUCCUUAUUAAGAGGCUUUGUCUAUCACUCGGAACUGCUUCUGCGCAAGAUUAUCUGUUGAAAGGGAACUGUCCAUACCAGGGCAUUGUUCUGACUUUUCUGGACUUCCUCAACCCAAAAUGCCUUGAAGAAAAAAAAAAAGACACUGAGUGUUAGGGCAGGGUCUCUGUCUCCAGGCUGGAGUGCAGUGGCACAAUCAUAGCUCACCGCAACCUCUAACUCCUGGGCUGAAGUGAUCCUCCCACCUCAGUCUCCUAUGUUGCUAGGAUUACAGCGUGAGCCACUGCCCCAGCUACUCCAACUUAAGAGUUCCCCCAAGGCUGGCUGCCCUUCUCCUCUCCUUCCAUCAUGAAUGACACAUGGGCAUCCCCUUCGGCUAGCAUGGCUGACCUGUGCCUGCCUGGGUGCUCAGCUUGGCACCCAUGUGAGUUUGCAGCCUGAAAUUUUAAAUGGAGGAGUUUCUGUGCUUUUCUGCCCUGAUUCCUCUUACUGACCCUCUAAGUCACCAGCUGUGGUCAUCUCCUCUUUGACCCCUGAUCUCAACCCGGGCUUUGAAAUGUGUUUGUUCACAUAAUUGUCCAUUACCCAUCCUUCCUGUCAUUGCAGAAUCUGUUGUCUCAUAC
rnacentral:lncRNA from 1 species